AACGAACGCUGGUGGCAUGCCUGACACAUGCAAGUCGAACGAGACCUUCGGGUCUAGUGGCGCACGGGUGCGUAACGCGUGGGAAUCUGCCCUUGGGUUCGGAAUAACAGUGAGAAAUUACUGCUAAUACCGGAUGAUGUCUUCGGACCAAAGAUUUAUUGCCCAAGGAUGAGCCCGCGUAGGAUUAGCUAGUUGGUGGGGUAAUGGCCUACCAAGGCGACGAUCCUUAGCUGGUCUGAGAGGAUGAUCAGCCACACUGGGACUGGGACACGGCCCAGACUCCUACGGGAGGCAGCAGUGGGGAAUAUUGGACAAUGGGCGAAAGCCUGAUCCAGCAAUGCCGCGUGAGUGAUGAAGGCCUUAGGGUUGUAAAGCUCUUUUACCCGGGAUGAUAAUGACAGUACCGGGAGAAUAAGCUCCGGCUAACUCCGUGCCAGCCGCCGCCGUAAGAC
rnacentral:rRNA from 1 species